GCAGCAUUUCCCUUCCACACAGGGCGGAGCCGGCUCUUCCGAGGACCCGCCACGUUGAGGCAGCCCUGUGGCUCCAGUUCUACCUUAGGAUGGGGUGGGGGUCGGAAGUCGGGGAACAGCUAGGACACAAACCCUUGACAAAUGCCAACAGGGUAGCUCGCACCCCAGCUCUCCCAGGCUGGGGUUCCAAGACCUGCCUACCCUCAGAAUCACCGCGGGCUUCUCAGCCAACAGGACCAGGGAACCUGCAUUUCUUCAACACCCUCCAGGGGAUUCUUUUCAGAAUGUCCUGAGCUAACGAAGUCAAUACAUGCUGACUUAAGUUGUUG